GGGGGGUAUAGCUCAGUUGGUAGAGCGCCUGCUUUGCGAGCAGGAUGUCAGCGGUUCGAGUCCGCUUACCUCCA
rnacentral:tRNA from 1 species